rnacentral:rRNA from 1 species
CCUACGGGAGGCAGCAGUGGGGAAUAUUGCACAAUGGGCGGAAGCCUGAUGCAGCCACGCCGCGUGAGGGAUGACGGCCUUCGGGUUGUAAACCUCUUUCAGCAGGGACGAAGCGCAAGUGACGUACCUGCAGAAGAAGCGCCGGCUUACUACGUGCCAGCAGCCGCGGUAAU